rnacentral:misc_RNA from 1 species
CCGAGUUUACAACUCCCAAACCCAAUGUGAACCAUACCAAACUGUUGCCAUCGGCGGGGUCACGCCCCGGGUGCGUCGCAGCCCCGGAACCAGGCGCCCGCCGGAGGGACCAACCAAACUCUUUCUGUAGUCCCCUCGCGGACGUUAUUUCUUACAGCUCUGAGCAAAAAUUCAAAAUGAAUCA